CAGAUCCUCCUGACUCCAAGACCAGAUCUCUAUUUGCUGUGCCACUUAGCUGCCCUUGGUAUUUAUUUUUGUUGGAGUUUCUCUUUUUGGAACCUGUUGGAAUAUAAGUUAGGCUGAGUAGUUGCUGGUCUAGAUUCCUUUCUGGUGGCUAGAUUGGUGUCCAUUCUUACUGUGGGAUUUAUACAGCUUUAUACAAACAAGUCUCCUUCCUGUUUUUGCUGUUCUAUUUGAGAUUUGAUUGUUUACCUCUGUCUUCCUUCCUCAUUCAGUGGUGUCCUGGUCUUGUCUGUGGUUACCUUUAAAAAUACCUAAGAAUCCAGUGGAAAGUUAAGUAUAGUUAUGGCAUUCCUGGGUGCCAUGAAUAUAUCAGAUCCUUGUCUUAGUUCUUUGCAGAAAGGCCCAAAUCAAACUGAUGAACAGUAGCCUACGAACGUACACGUGUGUGUGUACCUCAGUUUUAAUUGCUAGGUGUCUGUCUUUUCCCAUAGUCCUUCCCAAAUGGAACAGUACAUCCCCUUAUGUCCCAGCUGCUGUAUGUAAGCCUUAAAACACCAUAAGCAGGGCCAUCAAAGGAAUGCUAGGUUGUCAGUAUGUUUCAUAGGAUUUAGGCCUUGAAAGGGCCUUAGAAAUCAUCUGAUCUGAUCUCAUCUUUAUCAAGAUGAAGAAAUGGGGUUCAAGAAAGUUGAUUUGCCCCUGGGGCGUAACAGGUAAUAAGUAGUACAGCUGGAAUUUGAAUUGACUUUAACUUUGGGGAUCUCUUUUAACUACCCCUCCUUGGAGUUAUUCAUCUGAAACCCAGGAACCACAACCGUCAUCUCAAAAUGCUUCUAAGCACUUGAGGUCUUCACUGGAUUCUAGGUGGAAUGACAUUUUUUACUCUCCUGUUUACAGGGUUGGUCCAUUCCCUGUGCUUUUUAUCAUUCUCCAGUCACUGCUGGAAGCAAUGGGGAGGAAGAGAGAAGGUAUUUCCUUCAUUCAUAUAAAACCAGGUGUCAGAGUAAGGUGCCCUCUCUCCUAAGUUCUAGCAACUGUCACCAGGCAGGGCCAUAAGGAAACAACCCUCCUAGGCUGCAGUGUACUUGGAGUCAUGAGAGGAGGACUUAUAUGUGCCGAUGGUUCCGCGAUGGGUCCCAUUGCUGGGAACGAGUAGCAGGUCCUUGGACAUAGUGAUCCACAUGGGGAAGAAGACCUGAGAACAUCAGCUUAUUUAGAGGAGAUGCGAAAGAAUUCUUUUCACUCCAAAGGGACCAACUUCAGUAAUCACAGCUAGUCUACUUCAUUCUUUACCUCUGGUUCUAGAUUUAGUUAAUUAAUGGUCAUUCCAUUGCAGUGCCAAACCCAGGAUAUCUUGACCACCAGGGAUUUCCUGAACUGCCUUGUCAUCUUCCUUGGUGCACUGGGAAUUGAAGGCAGGAAGGUAUUCAUACCUUAGACUGUGGUUUUGGGGACUAGGGUUGGAAAAGGAUGUAUUGCAUAUAGAAGUGACUUCCACAAAACACCUACUCAAAGUUCCUCUGAGUGCAGACCUGAAAGAAUGCCUUGU